rnacentral:rRNA from 1 species
CCCAACUAUCCCUAUUAAUCAUUACGUCAAUCCUAGAAACCAACAAAAUAGGAUCAAACGUCCUAUUUCAUUAUUCCAUGCUAAUGUAUUCAAGCGCUUGCCUGCUUUAAACACUCUAAUUUUUUCAAAGUAACAGUCCUGAUUCCCCGCAACACCAAAUUAAUGACAUUACGGUUCAUCAAAGAGGGAGGAAUCAACAAGGCCAGUGCAUACCAUUGGCACGACCGACCUGCUGACCCCGAAAUUCAACU